UAUAUAGUGAUGUGCGCUUAGCUCCUCUGUUGCUGAGUGCACCCACCAUACAAACAAGGUAGCGGCAGGUUCUCCUUCCUUUUUUCCUAGAUCGGUAUGAUUCAAGACAACAGACCCCUUGCACUGUCGUGACGACCUCUCUCCCAGACUCAGCUGACUCCCACAGUGCACAGUGUUUGGAAGAAGGAGGCUGGACAUUCCAUCUAGCCUACACAGCAGCAGCAUCCCAGCACAGCUUGUGGUGGAAAAGGUGCCCUGAUCACCAUUGGUCUGGAGCCAAAUGCCUUCUUUAUGGAACAUCGUGAAUGGAAAGCCCGCCUCCCCACGCUGAAAAUCGUUGUUACCAAGAAAUGUUAAAAAUAAAGACUUGUGUCCCCCCAAAUUCCUCGAACGUCUGAGAAUAUGCCAGAGACGAUAAACUGACCACAGAAGGGGAUUGUCCUUCAACUCAUGGUCAAAUUUCGCUUCUACACCAUGGAGGAAAUUUAUCAGAUUUUUUGUUUUUACAAAUUGUGCUUCCAAAUGUGUAUUAGCAUAAGUAUCUUGAUCAGUUAACCAGUCUCUUAGAAAUCUCAUUAAAGAAGCCUGGUUAUAAA